rnacentral:rRNA from 1 species
CCUACGGGUGACAGCAGUGAGGAAUAUUGGUCAAUGGACGGAAGCCUGAACCAGCCAUGCCGCGUGAAGGAAGACGGCCCUAUGAGUUGUAAACUGCUUUUGUACGAGAAUAAUAGGUCCUACGUGUAGGGAUAUCAAGAUUACCUCAAAAUAACGAAAGGCUAAAUCCGUUGCAGCAGCCGCGGUAAUACGGGAGAUUCGAGCGUUUACCGGAUUUAUUGGGUUUAAAGGGUUCGUAGGCGGUCAGGUAAGUUAGGGGUCAAAUGUCCGGGCUUAACCCCGGGCCUGCCGUUGAAACUGUGCGACUAGAGAGCGGAUGCAGUAGGCGGAAUGAGCAGUGUAGCGGUGAAAUGCUUAGAUAUUACGCAGAACCCCGAUUGCGCAGGCAGCUUGCUAAUCCGCAACUGACGCUGAUGCACGAAAGCGUGGGUAUCGAACAGGAUUAGAUACCCCAGUAGUC